UUUAAAUAUGUGUAGUUUAUUGUGUGUCGAUUAUACCUCAAUGAAAUGGUUUUGAAAUAAUGGUAUGGACAAAAAGGAGCACUUGCUUUUCCCCCUGAAAGAGACCCUUCCCCAGUUGCCAUCAUUUCAGCAAACCAUCUCUGUGUGUGUAUGUGGUGAGAUAUAAACAAUAUCAAAUGUACUGUCUUAGCCAUUCUUAAGAGUACAGUUCAGUGGCAUUAAGCACAUUCACUUGGUUGUCCAACUGUCACCAUCAUCCAUCUCCAGGACUUUUUCAUCUCCCCAGACUGAACUAUAAACAUGGCAGGUAAGCAGCUGUUCGAGCCCCUGCUUUCAGUUCUUUUGAGUAUCCUGAGAAGUGGAAUUGCUGGAUCUUAUGGUAGUUCUAGGCUUAAUUUUUUGAGAAACCACCAUACAGUUUCCCAGCCACAGCUACCCCAUGUUACAUUCCUACUAACACUGCACAAGAGUCCCAGUUACUCCACACCUUCAACAACACUUGUGUUACUAGCUACCUCCAAACCACCUCUCAGCACUUCCCUGCUGGCUCCCUGAGCAACCCCUAGGGCUCCUUUCUCUUCAGAGGCACCAAGCUCCUGCCCAGCUCUCCCUCCCAGCCCUGACCAUCGCAGCACAAAGAGGUCUUCCCUGACUGCCUGAGCUAUCCGCCUUAGGAAAAGGCCUGGCAUUAUUCUCGGUGCCUCAUCUUAUUUAUCACGACCUUACAAUCUUGGUUGCUCUUAUCACUUUGCUCUUUCACACCAUCUCCCUUUUCACACUCUCCUGUCACUAUCACCACUACUUCUGCUCCUACCAUUUCUACUAUUUAUUGAGAAUCUCUAUGUGCCAGGCACUGUGCUGGGCAACUUCACAUACAUUAAUACCCUCAAAAUCUCAAGAAACCCCUCCACAUAAAGCCAAGCAAAGACCAGAAAGCAGCAGGAACUCUCGGGCUGCCCCGAAGUGAUGUCCUGGUGGUCCGUGGAGCACACAGGAAAGUCCAGCAGACAAACAUCAUCAAGGUCGGGCAUUCUGUCAGCUGCAUAAACCCAUUUUCUCUAAAAUACUUAAUGUUAACUUAGGAAAAAAGAAAAAAAAAAAAAACCAGAAAAGCUGCUUCAAGCCAGCCAACGUUCCAAGUCUCGCAGAAGCGUGUGAAAAUCCCCACGCUCAGUCGCCCUCUCCCUGCACACGCCCCGAGUCCGCGUCUCCCUCCUGUGUGAAUGCAGGGAAAGCGGGAGCGCGGCGAGGGGUCUGGUGCGGACCAGCCCCCGAGCCACAGAGUGCGGGGCCCGAGCUCCGGAAGCCCAGCCUGGGCCGCGACGGCCCCAAUUCCAGCAACGCUAGAGGGCGCCCGUGCCAAGCGCCCGCUCCCGGCAAGCCGCGUGCUCCCGGGUGGCCGCAACCGCGGGCCGAGGGGGCGGAGUCAUGGAAACACGUGCCACGGCCUGGAUGAACCUGCAGGGCCGAACGCUCAGUGAAACCAGCCAAUCACCAGAGCACAACUGCCGCGGCACUCCGCUGACCACCCACCUACCUGCCGUUCUGUUCCGCGUUGCCACAGAAAAAUACCAUAGACUGUAGCUUAUAAAUGACGGAAAUUCAGUUCUCAUUGUUCCGGAUGCUGAGAAGUAUGAGAUCAAGGCACCGGCAGAUGCGGUGCCUGGCGCAGGUCCUCUUCCUGGUUCUUGCCGUCUUUUCAGGGCACCCUCACAUGGUGGGAGGGGCCGAGGAUCCCUCCGGGUCUCUUUUAUAAGUCCAUCAAUCCCAUUCAGGAGGACUCUGCCCCACCACCUGUUUGUAUUGUCUCCCAAAGGCCCCACCUCCUAAGACUAUCACUUUGGGGGUCAGGAUGUCAACAUGUGACUUUGUGGAAAAGGGGGUGCGGCAUGAACAUUCAGUCCGUUGCACUGCAGUAGUCAGACUCGUGGAGACAGGAGGUAGAAUGGUGGUGACGGGCUGCAGGAAGGGGGAAUGGGGAGCUAGUGUUUCCUGGGGACAGAGUUUCAGUUUUGCAAGAUGAAAUGUUCUGAAUAUGGAUGGUGGUGACGGCUGUGCACCAUUGUGAGUAUACUUAAUGCCACACUGAACUGCACACUUAAAAAUGUUUAAGGGCUGGGUGCGGUGGCUCACGCCUGUAAUCCCAACACUCUGGGAGGCUGGGGCUGGGGGUGGAUCACUUGAGGUCAGGAGUUUGGGACCAGCCUGGUCAACAUGGUGAAACCCCGUCUCUACUAAAAAUACAAAAAUUAGCUGGGUGUGGUGGCACAAGCCUGUAAUCCUGGCUACUGCGGAAGCUGAGGCACGAGAAUCACUUGAACCCAAGAGGCGGAGGUUGCAAUGAGGUGAGAUUGCACCACAGCACUCCAGCCUGGGCAACAUAAUGAGACUCCAUCUCAAAAAAAAAAAAAAAAAAGUUAAGAUGGUAGAUUUUAUGUUAUGUGUAUUUUAACACAAUAAAAAAUCAAAGGUAGCUAAUUCCCAUUCUGCCCCAAUUUCAGAGAAACACGUGGGCGAAGACAGGGAGGGGUGACUGUCGGUGCUGCCCGGGCCCUGCUGCCUUCCAGAUCUCUGGCACCAGGGCUCUUUCUAGCUCCCUCCCCAGAAGAGGACAUCAGCGACUUGCACAGGCCCCUUCCUGGGCCUGCCUGAACUGCUGGGGGCAAUGGUUGUGGAGAGAACCCAGUGUGUGGGCAGAGAGCAGGCAGCGUGCCCCCUUCCCAUUCUGCUCCAGCAUAUCACUCUUGUUGCAACACAGGAUGAGUGUUCCCACAUUUUGUUUAAUAUUCACACGCUAUAGAGUGCUUCCUCCAGCUCCUCAGUCUUCAGGACAGCCUGGACUCCGGGACUGGUGGUGAGAAGCAGCAGAAAUAACAAGCAUCCCUGGCCCAGCUCGCUGGCCCCUGGUUGCUUUAGGGAGUCCUGUGCCUUCUCUGAGCAGGAAGUCCCUCAUUGAAAAUGAGAGGGUUGGACAAGACGAUCCCUGAGAAGCCUUGGAGUGCCAGCUUUCUGAGAACUGGCCUGGCACAAAUGCCCCAUUUAGUACACACGAAGCCAAAACAGAGAGGAACAGGGCCCCAGCAGGAGGAGUCAGCGAGCCGGCCCAGAGCACGCUUCUUAGAAAAGGACACGCUCAGGGACAAGGGCACCAUGACCUUCCCAAAGGCACAAAGGGCACAGGGCUCUGCAUCUCCUGUUUGUUCCCGGUAGAACAUCUCGCUGUCCCGGGAGAAUAUAUGAGGAGUGCAUAAAUAUACAGCCCCGCACUGCUUCCUGGGCUCUUGUGUGAUUCCAGGGCCUGUUCUCCAGCAGCUGUGAGCACCCACCCAGACCCCACUGGCCUGGGGACGGCCAUUGAGCCAGUCCCACCUGUGAGCCCUUCAGCGAUUCUCUGGCCCCCAGCCCCACCUGUCUGUCCACUUUUCCUGGCAGGCUGGUUAGGGGAUAAAGCAGAUGCACGGGACACUUUACUUGCCCCUUUCCCGUCCACCCCAGUUCAACCCUCCAGGUUACCCUCCGGCAGCAGAGCCACCCCUGCCCAGGACGCGCACUGCCUUCCAUUAGGCAACAGUUUCAUGAGGCAUUUGCCGUCCUCAAGAGGCUGACGUGACAGUGCCUGAUUCACAGAGGCUUCCCUCUGACCCAGGUCUAGCUGGCUCCCCAGUGGGACACCCCAGGGCCUUUCCUGGCCCAGAUCUGCCGCUCUGGGCUGUCCUGAGUGAGGAACACCUGAAUAAGCCACAACAUCAAGGAAAGGACCAUGAGGAUGGGAGCACCCGGGAGCAAGCCCCUCCCUGAGCCUUGGAAACCCCGUGACUCCUAUUUUCCAUGUCAUUUUCUCCAUCAUGGAAUGAACACUUAGAAACUGGAAGCUCGUGAGCAGAAUGAUUCUGUCCUAGAGCCUGAAGGCGUGCAUCAGGGCUGGGUCCUUCCCUGCAGCAUAGCUUCUAAACCAACGAUUGAUAUCUUCAUUUACCAGCACGAUAAAAAAGGAAUUCGUUUUCUUAGAAGCUGUGCCUGUCACUCUGCUCAGAAACAGUCCAAGCAGCCGUUCCAAGUGUGGCCUUCAGCCCAUGCCAAACUUAGAUCAACUGCAGGCUUGGAGCUUUCUGAGGCGAGAAUGGAAGUAUGUGUGCUGCAGUGGUGUGUGUGGGUGUGCACUCGUGUUUGUAGGUAGCAUUUACACACACCCACCGUGGGCAUGUACAUGUGUCUCCCUGUGCCAGUAUGCUGAGAGCUUCAGGACAUGGCAGGCACUCCACAUGCAGGGGAUGGAAAAGCCAUCACAUUUAUUGUCUGUCCUUGUGCGGUAUUUAAAAUACAACUGAGAAUGUGUGCAGAUUUUUAAAUGUUACUGGACCACUUGGGUUUUUUUUGAGACCGGGCUGACUCUGAGCCAGACUGCAUCUGUCUGCGUUGAAAGGGACCAUUCUUUCCCUCCUGCUCCCGCCCUGCCCCCUCCACACACACCCUCCUUCAUGUGAAACCCGAGCAUUUCCUUUCCCGUAAGCCUUCUUCUAGAAGCCUGUGCUCAGCACAGGGGCCAAGCCCUGCGGCUCAGGCAGGCCCACGUGACUCUUGAACUGCAGACUCAAGUCCCAAGGUGGGAAACCGUUUGUC
rnacentral:lncRNA from 1 species